rnacentral:rRNA from 1 species
ACUCAAAGGAAUUGACGGGGGCCCGCACAAGCGGAGGAGCAUGUGGUUUAAUUCGAUGAUACGCGAGGAACCUUACCUGGGCUUGAAAGUUAGUGAAUGCCGUAGAAACAUGGCAGCAAGCAAUUGCACGAAACUAGGUGCUGCAUGGCUGUCGUCAGCUCGUGCCGUGAGGUGUUGGGUUAAGUCCCGUAACGAGCGCAACCCCUAUCAUUAGUUGCCAACAGGUCAUGCUGGGGACUCUAAUGAGACUGCCCGCGCAAGCGGUGAGGAAGGUGGGGAUGACGUCAAGUCAUCACGGCCCUUACGUCCAGGGCUACACACGUGCUACAAUGGUCGGUACAAUGGGCAGCCACAUGGCAACAUGGAGCUAAUCCUUAAAACCGGUCUCAGUUCGGAUUGAGGUCUGCAACUCGACCUCAUGAAGCUGGAUUCGCUAGUAAUCGUACAUCAGCAAUGGUACGGUGAAUACGUUCCCGGGCCUUGUACACACCGCCCGU